rnacentral:rRNA from 1 species
CAUGGUGGAUGCCUUGGCAUCGAGAGCCGAUGAAGGACGUGGGAGGCUGCGAUAUGCCUCGGGGAGCUGUCAACCGAGCGUGGAUCCGAGGAUUUCCGAAUGGGGAAACCCAGCACGAGUGAUGUCGUGCUACCCGCAUCUGAAUAUAUAGGGUGCGGGAGGGAACGCGGGGAAGUGAAACAUCUCAGUACCCGUAGGAGGAGAAAACAAUUGUGAUUCCGCAAGUAGUGGCGAGCGAACGCGGAACAGGCUAAACCGCACGCAUGGGUAACCGGGUAGGGGUUGUGUGUGCGGGGUUGUGGGAGGAUAUGUCUCAGCGCUACCCGGCUGAGAGGCAGUCAGAAAGUGUCGUGGUUAGCGGAAGUGGCCUGGGAUGGUCUGCCGUAGACGGUGAGAGCCCGGUACGCGAAAACCCGGCACCUGCCUAGUAUCAAUUCCCGAGUAGCAGCGGGCCCGUGGAAUCCGCUGUGAAUCCGCCGGGACCACCCGGUAAGCCUAAAUACUCCUCGAUGACCGAUAGCGGAUUAGUACCGUGAGGGAAUGGUGAAAAGUACCCCGGGAGGGGAGUGAAAGAGUACCUGAAACCGUGUGCCUACAAUCCGUCAGAGCCUCCUUUUCCUCUCCGGAGGAGGGUGGUGAUGGCGUGCCUUUUGAAGAAUGAGCCUGCGAGUCAGGGACAUGUCGCAAGGUUAACCCGUGUGGGGUAGCCGCAGCGAAAGCGAGUCUGAAUAGGGCGACCCACACGCGCAUACGCGCGUGUGAAUAGUGGCGUGUUCUGGACCCGAAGCGGAGUGAUCUACCCAUGGCCAGGGUGAAGCGCGGGUAAGACCGCGUGGAGGCCCGAACCCACUUAGGUUGAAGACUGAGGGGAUGAGCUGUGGGUAGGGGUGAAAGGCCAAUCAAACUCCGUGAUAGCUGGUUCUCCCCGAAAUGCAUUUAGGUGCAGCGUUGCGUGGUUCACCGCGGAGGUAGAGCUACUGGAUGGCCGAUGGGCCCUACUAGGUUACUGACGUCAGCCAAACUCCGAAUGCCGUGGUGUAAAGCGUGGCAGUGAGACGGCGGGGGAUAAGCUCCGUACGUCGAAAGGGAAACAGCCCAGAUCGCCGGCUAAGGCCCCCAAGCGUGUGCUAAGUGGGAAAGGAUGUGCAGUCGCAAAGACAACCAGGAGGUUGGCUUAGAAGCAGCCACCCUUGAAAGAGUGCGUAAUAGCUCACUGGUCAAGUGAUUGUGCGCCGAUAAUGUAGCGGGGCUCAAGCACACCGCCGAAGCCGCGGCACAUCCACCUUGUGGUGGGUGUGGGUAGGGGAGCGUCCCUCAUUCAGCGAAGCCACCGGGUGACCGGUGGUGGAGGGUGGGGGAGUGAGAAUGCAGGCAUGAGUAGCGACAAGGCAAGUGAGAACCUUGCCCGCCGAAAGACCAAGGGUUCCUGGGCCAGGCCAGUCCGCCCAGGGUGAGUCGGGACCUAAGGCGAGGCCGACAGGCGUNGAAGCCGCGGCACAUCCACCUUGUGGUGGGUGUGGGUAGGGGAGCGUCCCUCAUUCAGCGAAGCCACCGGGUGACCGGUGGUGGAGGGUGGGGGAGUGAGAAUGCAGGCAUGAGUAGCGACAAGGCAAGUGAGAACCUUGCCCGCCGAAAGACCAAGGGUUCCUGGGCCAGGCCAGUCCGCCCAGGGUGAGUCGGGACCUAAGGCGAGGCCGACAGGCGUAGUCGAUGGACAACGGGUUGAUAUUCCCGUACCCGUGUGUGGGCGCCCGUGACGAAUCAGCGGUACUAACCACCCAAAACCGGAUCGAUCACUCCCCUUCGGGGGUGUGGAGUUCUGGGGCUGCGUGGGAACUUCGCUGGUAGUAGUCAAGCGAAGGGGUGACGCAGGAAGGUAGCCGUACCAGUCAGUGGUAACACUGGGGCAAGCCGGUAGGGAGAGCGAUAGGCAAAUCCGUCGCUCACUAAUCCUGAGAGGUGACGCAUAGCCGGUUGAGGCGAAUUCGGUGAUCCUCUGCUGCCAAGAAAAGCCUCUAGCGAGCACACACACGGCCCGUACCCCAAACCGACACAGGUGGUCAGGUAGAGCAUACCAAGGCGUACGAGAUAACUAUGGUUAAGGAACUCGGCAAAAUGCCCCCGUAACUUCGGGAGAAGGGGGACCGGAAUAUCGUGAACACCCUUGCGGUGGGAGCGGGAUCCGGUCGCAGAAACCAGUGAGGAGCGACUGUUUACUAAAAACACAGGUCCGUGCGAAGUCGCAAGACGAUGUAUACGGACUGACGCCUGCCCGGUGCUGGAAGGUUAAGAGGACCCGUUAACCCGCAAGGGUGAAGCGGAGAAUUUAAGCCCCAGUAAACGGCGGUGGUAACUAUAACCAUCCUAAGGUAGCGAAAUUCCUUGUCGGGUAAGUUCCGACCUGCACGAAUGGCGUAACGACUUCUCAACUGUCUCAACCAUAGACUCGGCGAAAUUGCACUACGAGUAAAGAUGCUCGUUACGCGCGGCAGGACGAAAAGACCCCGGGACCUUCACUACAACUUGGUAUUGAUGUUCGGUACGGUUUGUGUAGGAUAGGUGGGAGACUGUGAAACCUCGACGCCAGUUGGGGCGGAGUCGUUGUUGAAAUACCACUCUGAUCGUAUUGGGCAUCUAACCUCGAACCCUGAAUCGGGUUUAGGGACAGUGCCUGGCGGGUAGUUUAACUGGGGCGGUUGCCUCCUAAAAUGUAACGGAGGCGCCCAAAGGUUCCCUCAACCUGGACGGCAAUCAGGUGGCGAGUGUAAAUGCACAAGGGAGCUUGACUGCGAGACUUACAAGUCAAGCAGGGACGAAAGUCGGGAUUAGUGAUCCGGCACCCCCGAGUGGAAGGGGUGUCGCUCAACGGAUAAAAGGUACCCCGGGGAUAACAGGCUGAUCUUCCCCAAGAGUCCAUAUCGACGGGAUGGUUUGGCACCUCGAUGUCGGCUCGUCGCAUCCUGG